rnacentral:piRNA from 1 species
UAAACUCAAAUGAGGAUCCCUCAUCAGUGUA